rnacentral:misc_RNA from 1 species
CAGCCAUUUACAUCUUCAGUUUUCAUACUGUAAUUCUAAAAUCCCCGAGUGCCAUCUGUGGCGGUGCACCUUGUGGUUUAUGCCCAGGAAGGCUAUCACAAAUGGUUUAUGCUCCACAGGGCUUGUUACAAAUGGUUUAGUUCAUUCAGCUUGUGCUCUUUGACAGAUAAGUAGCUGCUAAAAAGACAUCCGACUUAUCCCAACAUUCUCAGCAGCCAACAUGUAUGCAUGGCAAAUUUGGAGGAUCGCU